ACAUAGGAAACAGCUUGCUAGACCACUCACUCUUAGUGUUUGCCAUCCACCAGGAAGGGAGCAGUCCUGUAGGAAGCCCCAGCUCACAAAAAAAAAAAGGAAAUCAAGAACCCUGAGAGCAGCAGAACAGCUCAAUGACAACACGAGGACUUUCUGACCCGCCUGUGAUGCAUCUAUCCACCUAACUACAAUGGCACCAUGCUGGGGACAACUACAGAAUCUGCAGCAGUCAGAAAAGCCAGUUCUUCGGGUAUGUGCUGGACUAGUUGGUCACAAAUGGCCCUCUGAACUCUAAAAUUCUGUGAUUCUGAGCAACAGGCCACUAGCAAAGCUAAAGAUCUCCUGAUGUAAGAAAUCAUUCUGACAUCUA